UCGUUGUCCUGUAACAUAUUUGUUUCUUUGAAUGAUGCAUUUCUGUGAGUGUCCCUCCACAUUUUAAGUGUCAUUUUGUUUUGUUUUGGUUUUUACCUUGCAAACAGGCAGCGGAGGAAACCUCCAGGGAACUAAGACAGAGUCCGCGAGAGGCACAGUCACACAAUACAUCCCCGAGAACACGGAUUAGACACAUAGUGAAACUUCACAGCUCCGAAUCACCACCCGCUCCAAUCCCCUCACCAUCUCCUCCUCAGAAUGAGAAUCAGAAAGCGUUACAGAAACAGCAAAGAAUCCGAGAGGACGUUCAGACAAAGUUGUUUACUCCAGCGGCCCCGAGGCCAUCCCCUGACGGAGGCGGAGAAAACGACGAAAUUGAUCCGGGUGGAACUGGGCGUACUACGGGUCAAGGAGCUCUCCCUCACACAGAGCA